rnacentral:rRNA from 1 species
UGGACAAAGGGCAGCUACACAGCGAUGUGAUGCUAAUCUCCAAACCAUGUCUCAGUUCGGAUCGGAGUCUGCAACUCGACUCCGUGAAGCUGGAUUCGCUAGUAAUCGCGCAUCAGCCAUGGCGCGGUGAAUACGUUCCCGGGCCUUGUACACACCGCCCGUCAAGCCAUGGGAGCCGGGGGUACCUGAAGUCCGUAACCGCGAGGAUCGGCCUAGGGUAAAACUGGUGACUGGGGCUAAGUCGUAACAAGGUAAC